rfam:Danio rerio chromosome 4, GRCz11 reference primary assembly.
GUAGUCGUGGCUGAGUGGUUAAGGCGAUUGACUUGAUAUCCAUUGGGGUCUACCCCUGCAGGUGCAAGUCCUGCAGACUAUA